AAUCAUUAAGUUACAAACAUUUGUUUUGAAAACAUUAUAGGAGCCCUAGCUCAAUGAUUA
rnacentral:tRNA from 1 species